AAAAUGUGGCUUCACCCAAAGUUAACAGUACACUCUUAAUCAUAGGACUUUUUAAUAAAAAGAAUCUGAAAGUGUAGAUCAGACAAGCUUGAAUGAAAUCAAUAAUUUAAAGACACUAUAAUAUUUUCUACUUUGCAAACUUCCUACAGUCCCUGGAUUCUUUAGAUGUCAAAGCAGAUUUCCAAUAACAUACAUCAAAAACAGAGCAGUUCAGAAUAUAUUCUUGACACAAACUAUUUUAUGUCCACAAGAACAUCACUGAAAAGCCCUAUAGUGAAAAUG
rnacentral:misc_RNA from 1 species